rnacentral:rRNA from 1 species
GAUGAACGCUGGCGGCGUGCUUAACACAUGCAAGUCGAACGGAAAGGCCCUGCUUUUGUGGGGUGCUCGAGUGGCGAACGGGUGAGUAACAUGAGAGUAAUCUGCCCUUGACUUUGGGAUAACUUCAGGAAACUGGGGCUUAUAUCGGAUAGGAGCUACUGCUGAAUGGUGGGGUUUGGAAAGUUUAGGCGGUUGGGGAUGGCUUCGCGGCUCAUCAGCUUGUUGGUGGGGUAGAGGCUUACCAAGGCUUUGACGGGUAGCCGGCCUGAGAGGGUGACCGGCCACAAUGGGACUGAGAUACGGCCCAUACUCCUACAGGAGGCAGCAGUGGAGAAUAUUGCGCAAGGGGAGCAAGCCUGAUGCAGCAACGCCGCGUGCGGGAUGACGACCUUCGGGUUGUAAACCGCUUUCGCCUUUGACAAAAAGGGAAUGACGGUAAUGGGUAAAGAAGCGCCGGCUAACUACGUG